rnacentral:rRNA from 1 species
UACGGGGGGGGCAAGCGUUGUUCGGAAUUACUGGGCGUAAAGGGCUCGUAGGCGGCUAACUAAGUCCGACGUGAAAUCCCAAGGCUUAACCUUGGAACUGCGUCGGAUACUGGAUGGCUUGAAUUCGGGAGAGGGAUGCAGAAUUCCAGGUGUAGCGGUGAAAUGCGUAGAUAUCUGGAGGAAUACCGGUGGCGAAGGCGGCAUCCUGGACCGACAUUGACGCUGAUGAGCGAAAGCUAGGGGAGCAAACGGG